rnacentral:rRNA from 1 species
UACGUAGGGGGCAAGCGUUGUCCGGAUUUACUGGGCGUAAAGAGCGUGUAGGCGGCCUCACAGGUCCGUUGUGAAAACUGAAGGCUUAACCUUCAGACGUCGACGGAAACCGUGUGGCUAGAGUCCGGAAGAGGAGAGUGGAAUUCCUGGUGUAGCGGUGAAAUGCGCAGAUAUCAGGAAGAACACCAAUGGCGAAGGCAGCUCUCUGGGACGGUACUGACGCUGAGAAGCGAAAGCGUGGGGAGCAAACAGG